rnacentral:lncRNA from 1 species
CUAGUUUGGCAAUUUUCUUUAACUGAUACCAACUAAUUUCUUAGGCAUGGAGGUGCCACCUUGAAAACAAUCUUCUGAGCAUAGCUGAUGAAGUGAUCUUGAAUUCAAGUAAUGAACAUGAAGUGUUUCGAGUGACUGAAAUCGCUUUAUUGUGUGUUCAAGAAUAUCCUGAAGACAGGCCAAGCAUGUCAUCAGUGGUGCUGAUGCUGAGCGGCGAAAUUGCAUUGCCUAAUUCUAAAAAGCCCGGAUUCUACUCGGAUAAACAAAAGCCUAAUGACACAACUUCGCCAUCAUCAAAUAACACAUCUUGCAGCAUCAAUAGCGCCAGUGUCUCAUUCUAUGCACCUAGAUAGUACCUAGAUUAAAGACUGAAUUAAGUUUUUUAUUUAUAACAUCACUGUAUCAAGUUGUAUAAAAUACAUUAUACUCGUUCCAUUUUCAUAAUCACACAAUAAACAAAACGACUCCUCAGUGGCUUAACUAUGUUAUCAAUAGAAAAGGAUAUAGCACCUCUAAUCAGCACAUUUGGUACUUCUUUGAUGUUGGCUCUACAUUCGCAUAGUAUGGCUCCGGUUAGUAGUUUGCAGGCUAAUGGAACUUGGGUGUUUGGGGUCAGAAAUUACCGCUUGAUUAGGGAGCUUCGAGGGUUGUGUGUCAAUAUUCAGGUUGUGAGAAUUGAUAAGAUCAGCUGGAAUGGUGCAGGUAGUCAGGGUGAGCCUAUUAAGAUCUCGCUCAUUUAAAAUAAUGCUCCUAUUUUUCAAGAUUGUAAAGAAUUUUUUACACACAUUCAAAUCAAUAUACUACAAAAUAAAAACAUUAUUUUAGGACUAAUACAAUCAAUUAAAAUGCAUGUAAACAUAUAAAAACAUUGAUUUAUUAUUAUAUACUGCAUAUGCAUAGAUAUUUUGUCAGAAUCAAAGAUAAACGCGUUUGUUUUCAAAAACCAAAUGAGUUUGGGCUUAACAUAAAGUAACCUUUAACCAACCCAACUCGUUCAUAUAACAACUGAAAACAAACGCGUUUAUAUGAACGAGUUGCGUUUAUAUUUAAAUUUCUUUUUUCUUUGACAACCCCUAAAAUAACUGAAAAAUAUAUCAGCACUACUAAAACCAGCAUUAAGAUGGUUGAUCAGCAGCUCAUUAAGACAGGAAAGUACCAGCUCUCAUUCAAACAAUGAACAGGUUGAGAAUUGCUCUGCCGCCAUAAUUAUUCCGAGUAAAGACUCGGGUCAGGCAUUUCAUCCCCUCGUUUCUACUUGGUUGUCUUUCAAUGUAGAAAAAAUGUAUCUUGUGGUGUAUAAUAAUGUGUGAAAUUCUUAGUUAGCUACUCGAGCAUAAACAAUUAACCAAACUUCAAGUGCAGCCGUGCAGCACAUCAAGCAGCAGAAUGGGAACUCUGAAUUGAGUAAGACAUAUUUUAACCACUUAGCACAAACAAUCCACCAAAAUACAAACAAAUUACUCAACCAUAUACUCUGUCCAAUCAAUAGUCCUGAGCAACGUUAAACAAACCCGCUUAAAACUCUAUAAAAGUUAGUCACGUGAGACACCCCAACCAAAUCUGUGAAUUCAGGAAAACAUAAAAAGUUGUUCCAUCUCCUUAAUUUUCUAUUGAAUGGAGUCAGAAAUAACACCCCCAUCAGCUAAUCUUUUCACACACCCUCUGAUUGCGUCAAAAUGAUAACCCCAUUAAUUUAUUUCGAAUAUCAACCUCAGCCUUUACAAUAAUUUGCCAAUAUCACACAUCUUAACUUGUCUUCAUUUUAUUUUUUAAAUCUAAACUAACAAAUAUCAUAUUAUAAAUUAUUCCUAUAAAUGACUAGGCGCUAUUUGUGGCACACACGUGUAUAAAAAGAUACAAAUCAUGGAAAGAUACAUGACAAGUCACAUUGGUAGAUUUAACCAUGGUUUAUUUUGUAUUUAUUUUUAUACUUUUAAUAAAGUUUACUGGGGUUGUCAAAGAAAAAAGAAGUUCAAAAGUUUUUUGGCAAAAAUUUGACAAAUUGAUUGAGUUUUUUAGUUAAUAACUCUAUAACAACUGAUUCAUUUUAUUUCAUUUUUGUUUAGUGUUGACUUUCACUUAUACAGUAUAUAAGACAGAAGAAGACUAAAUUUUUACGAUAUCAAAUCAGUAAGGUGCAUAUUUUCUUUAACAUAUAAAAAUCUACACUUAACCUUUAAUUUAAAAAAAUUGAUGAUGUAGAAUUAGUAGUUAUAUAAUAUAUGAAAGAGGUAAUUGCGUAUGGCACCCCCUAAGUAUCGUUCAAAAACGAUAGAGUACCGAUACUUUAAGAAACUCAACUCGCACCCCUUAUCUUUACUUCUCAAAACCGAGAUGCACCCCCUGCCGUUAACUUCCGUUAACUCAGUGCACUCCGUUAAGUCAGUAUAUAUAUAAUUGCAAUUCGGACCCCCUAACUUACGUUCAAAAACGAUAUGGUAUCCAUAUUUUUGAAAACUCGAAUCGCACCACCUAUUUUUACAUCUCAGGAACGAUACGCACCCCCUCCGUUAAAUUCCGCUACCUUCGUUAAAAUUCUCCCCCGUCUCAAUUCACAUGUCCCUUUUGCUUUUUGAGGAGUUAAAUUGACUAAUUUUUUACUAACUAUUUGAAAAUAUGUAUUUAUUAUUUUAGAAAAUAGAAACUUACAUAUCAAAAUAGACUAGAUUUAAUUUUUGAUGAUAUUUUUUUGAUCAAUUUUUCCAAACAAAAUAAUUAAAAUUUAUAUAUUUUAAUCAAUAGAUAAAUUUAUGUAAUAUUUAUAAUAAAUAUCACAUGAUAUUUAUUUUUUAUAUUUAAAAUAGUGUAUAUUAAAUACCUAAUACACAUGUCACUAAAAAUUUAAAAUCAUUCAAUAUGUAAAAUCAUUUUGACUUGGGGAUAACUUAAUUAAACAAAAAUUUAAAAAAAAAUAUCAUCAAAAAGUAAAUCUAGUCUAUUUGUUUUCGCAAAUAAUAGAGGGUCCGAAUUUCACAAAUAAUAGAGAUAAUUGCAAUUCGGACCCCCUACUAUUUACCUCUAUUAAAAUAGGCUAGAUUUACUUUUUGAUUAAACGACAAGAGGCUUAUAUAAAAAGCACAUUAUACCUAACUUACGUUCAAAAACGAUAUUAUACCUGUACUUUUGGAAACCCAAAUCUCACCACCUAUCUUUACAACGAUACGCACCUCCUCCGUUGAAUUCCGUUACCUUCCGUUAAAAUACUCCUCCGUCUCAAUUUACAUGUCCCUUGUCAAAUUGACUAAUUUUUGACCAACUAUUAAAAAAAUAUUUAUUUAUUAUUUUAGGAAAUAGAAAAUUACAUAUUAAAAUAUACUUUCUAGCCUGUUUUAAUAGAGGUAUCUAGUCUAUUUUAAUAUGUAAAUUUCUAUUUUCUAAAAUAAUAAAUACAUAUUUUCAAAUAGUUGGUAAAAAAUUAGUCAAUUUAACUCCUCAAAAAGCAAAAGGGACAUGUAAAUUGAGACGGGGGAGAAUUUUAACGGAAGGUAGUGGAAUUUAACGGAGGGGUUGCGUAUCGUUCCUGAGAUGUAAAAAUAGGUGGUGCGAUUCGAGUUUUCAAAAAUAUGGAUACAAUAUCGUUUUUGAACGUAAGUUUGGGGGUCCGAAUUGCAAUUAUAUAUAUACUGACUUAACGGAGUGCACUGAGUUAACGGAAGUUAACGGCAGGGGGGGCAUAUCGGUUUUGAGAAGUAAAGAUAAGGGGUGCGAGUUGAGUUUCUUAAAGUAUCGGCACUCUAUCGUUUUUGAACGAUAUUUAGGGGGUGCGAUAUGCAAUUACCUCUAUAUGAAAUUAUACCUACCGCAAGUAAACAAUGUCUAUUAUAGUGUAAACUGGCAAAUAUGGGUUAUAUCUUUUAGAAGAGGUUUUAUAAGUUUUUAUUCGAUUACAGUCAAUUGUUUCAAACCAAAAUGAUUACAAGAUAGUUUUAACUAACUAAUAAUUAUAACAAAAUUAAACUAACUAAUAAUACGCUAAUAAAUGAUUUAGAAAUCUAGGGUAAUAAGGUACACCAUACUUAUACAAUAACCGACUUCAAAACUAAAGCGAUUACAGUGAUCAAGUAAUUAGAGUAUGCUAAUUUUAGUAUCAACAAUCUCGAAACAUGAUUAUACAUAUGAUCAUGUAAUUAAUCAUGUAAUUAAAAUAGUAUUAAUCUCUUAUGAGCAUUAACACUUUUAAGAAUUCAAUGAUGCUCUCGAACUCAAUCGAUUCUGCUACUUGUAUGUUUGUCUCUUGCAUUAUAUCGCUCGAUCAUACCCCUGUUGUAUAAAAUCAAUUCAUGAUAUCGCCCGAUUACAUAAAUCAAUAUUAAAAAUAUAUCAAGUAGAAUUAAUCACAAUCAAUCAAAUCACUGAAAAACGUGCCAACAUCAUAUUGUAAACAAGACUUCUUCUUAAGACCUAAAAUACAACCACUCCCUAAUAAUUAAACAAAUAACAUAAAUGGUACUCCCUCCGUCCCUAUUUAUAUGUCCACUUUGGAAGUAAAAAUUUGUCCCUAUUUAUCUGUCCAUUUAUUCUUUCAAAACUAACUUAAUGAUAGUUUUUCAAAUAUAUCUUCAUAAUUUCAAUUUUCAAGGCUUGACUUAUUUAAAACUUGGUUGAAUUCAUGUUUUCAAGACAUAAAGUAGGGGUAUUCCACCAUCUUCAAGAUAUUAAUUAGAGGUAUUUAAUGAAAAAGUUUAUACAAUCAAUUAUUCUUUGGUAUGCGUUUUUUUUUCCAAAAUGGACAGAUAAAAAGGGACGGAGGGAGUACAAUAGAAAGAUAUGAUUAAACUAACAAGAAAAAAAAUACUGAAGAAAUUUAACAUUUAUUAUUCUCGAGAAAUUCAUUGUCUCUUUUCCUUCUCCCUAACCCUAAUUCUAGUUUAACUGUAUGCAAUCAUAAUUUCUGAUCCUCUGUCACCCUCAUAAUAAAAGUAUUUUAAUAUUUUAACUAAUAUACAAUUUGAAUUCCAAAAUCAACAAGGACUCAAUGUCAAUAAUUCGUAGCUUUCUUAACUCAUAUGUUUUUUCUUGUCGGAUUUAGCUUAUGACCAAUAGAUAUUGGAUAUAGCCCAAUAACCGAAUUCCAUAUAUUUUAGUUCUAAAAUAGUUUUUUUUUCUUGAUGAAUUGAAUAUAAAUCAACUCGACAACAUAUUCAGGCUUGAAUAUCUGAGACAAGACUGUAAUUAACAAAAAAUAUAAAAUGGAAAAUACUAAACACUAUAAAAGUUACGGGAACAAGUACCCCCGCCGUGGUUCGGUCCCUCCUCUUAAGUAAUGCAUACACGUCCACACCCUUCAUUUUGUUUUGUUUAAAUUAACUUUUAUUUAUUAUUUUUUUACCUAUUUUUUUCAUGCCAAUUACUUUGGUUUAAUAUUUUUUUCCUGAGAUUUAAGAGCAAGUCCAAUAGGUUACGUAUAUCAUUACUUAUUAAUAAUAUAAAAUAAUGAAUCCUAGUGAGUCUUAUAAUUUAGGUAAUGUACUUAUAGUGUCAACUCCAAUGACAAUCCCAAUAUUUGUUUUUCUAAGAUUAUUUUAAUAAUAAAUUUGAUAAAGAGAAGGAGAAAGGAGGGAAAAGACAAUCAAAGAAGGAGAGAGAUGAUUACUUUAUUCAUAAAUAUCAAAUACAUAAAGCUAGGGGGUUACCUAAUGGCCAAGAGAUUUGAGGUUGUGUUAGUGAUUUAAUUAAUCUAGUGUUGGAGUGCUUUUUUCGAGGCAUUACCUAAAUACUCUUUCGUCUCAAUUCAUAAGUCCUUUUUAAAAAAAACACGCAUAUUAAGAAAUAAGUUGGUUAAAUAAUUUUAUCUCAUACAUCAUUAGUUAGUGCAUUGAUAAGUGAGAAUAUAGUUUAAUUUCAAAAAAAUCACAAUAAAUGUAGAGAUUGAGUGCAUUGAGAAAUGAGAAUAAUGUUGGGUUUCAAAAAAAUCACAAUUAAUAUAGAGAUAAAUUUGUAUUGAAAGAAGAGAGAGACAAGUAUUUUGAGAAUUUUUUUUUCCAAAAGAACCCUAUAUUUUGAGACGGACGGAGUAAGAGUUUAGGAGCUAACCUAUUGAGUUUGGACUUGCUCUACGACGUCGGGUACUCCGAACAGACGGAGAGACACUCAAAGAUGAGUAUUUUACUGUCAGUAUACUCUAGCUGAAUUUAUUGAAGAAUAUUUGCUUAAAUUUUAUUAUUCUGAGAUCUAAAUAUUCUAAUUACAAUACACACACAUAUAUAUUGAGAACAUUGAAGUAUUUUAUUUAAAAAUUGACAAAAGGUUCAAGAUUUUAUGUUGUAGUUAUAUUUUUUUAUUUAUAUUUUACGAUAUACAUUUAAACUUGAUAAUUUGGUACACCACACAAGAACACGACAUUAAAAAUUGUUGUUUGAAUUUUGAUUUUUGACACACGAACACAAAAAUACAUACUGAAUUUAGUGUCGGAUAUGAGUUUUCAUUUUAUAUACAUGAAAGUACACAAAUAUAUACGGUAUAAAAAUAAUUUUUAAUAAAUAAGUGUAUUUUUAUGUAAAAAAAUAUAUAAUUACACACACACACACAUAUAUAUGUGAUAUAUAUAUUCAUGUAUAAAUUUGAACUCAUUUGCAUACAAAUAUAAAGAUUUAAAUUAUGUUUCUUAAAAUAAUACAUAAAAAAUAUAUUUUUAAAAUAUAUUUUAAUUAAGUUUAAUUAUUAUAUUUAUAUUAAAUAUACACGAAAAGUAUACGACACGUUUCGAAAUGAAUAUAAAUUUUAAAUUAAAUAUACGAAUCUUAAAAAGUCGGAUAUGAAUUUAACCUUCAAAUAUACUAAACAAGAAAAUACACGGCUUGACAAGUCCAUGUACAUUAUUUUAUUGCUACCGUAACCAUUGUUUAGCUAAGCCAUUGAUGCCAUACUUUGAUUUUAUUUUGUCAGGCAGGCAAUUUUCCAGAAAUUUUCUUCACAUGUGACAUGUAUCGUCCUUCCAUGCGUCGUUUCAUGUUUAGCUUCACAAAAACAAAAUAUGAGUCAAUAAAUUACAAAACGACGAAUUUGGCAACAAAAUUUUCCAGAGCACGUCGCUACUAGCAAAGAGGCCCAGCAAAGCGGCAUACAGUAAUUUCGAUUAGACUAAAAAAAUAAUAUAAAACUCAAAUAACGCUAAAAUCUGCCGAAUUUGCUUAACUACGAGUUGAUUGGGUCAUAUAGGUCUCACUCUCACAAAGCCGUAUUUGACAAAAAAGUAAAAUUAUAAAUUAUAAUAUUUAAAUAAUUUUUUAUUAAAUAUAGCUUAUACAUUAAAUAUUUGUUAAUUUACUAAUCAAUCAAGUGUUAAUAUCGAUUGUUUAGUAAUUAACUUAAAUCCUUAGAUUUUUCAUCCAUUUUAAUUUGACUUUUCUUAUUAAUCUUUUUUUUUUGACAUGAACUAAUCGCUGGGUGUUUUUUUUGAAAUAGAGGGAGACCCUGUACAAUUUUUGAUAAUUGAAUUUCUUGAGUUUAAGGUAAAUAACAUGAAAUACCGGCUGAGAUUCAUUUUGGAAUUUUAGUACUAGCUUCUACUAAUAUUCCACAACCUCUGCCCACCACUAGGAACCGACUUACAGUUUACUCGCUAGUGGACUCAAUAAAUUACAAAUACACUCCCGUUAAUUUCCUUGUCGCUGUUUCUAAACUUAAUCUGAAAUUGUUUUGUCUGUGUAAUAAAUUUUAAAAUCAGAAAUAAGUUAAAAAUUGAUCUUAAAUUAGUGAGAUAUUUUUAUUAGUGAUUUAAAUUUCCAUAAAAGUUAUUCAUAAAUCAUAAAUUUAAAAAAUAAAAGUGAUUUAUGAAUAAUUUAUCAGUAACUUUUUGCGGAAGAAAGAUUUUAGGGCCGUUUGGAUUAACUUAAAAGAUGUGACUUUUUGUUUAAACUAAAGAAGCGAAGUAGAAGUGAGAAGUAAAUAAGUGAAUAAAGUAACUUUUUGUUUAAACUAAAGAAGCGAAGUAGAAGUGAGAAGUUAGUUUACAGCUUCUACUUUUUUCCCAAACACUUUAUUCACUUCUCACUUCUACUUCGCUUCUACUAACUUUUCACUUCUACUUCGCUUCUUUAGUUUAAACAAAAAGGCACUUAUUCACUUAUUUACUCCGAUUAGAGCUAAAUCGGGUUAUUAACUUCUACUUAUUUACACAAACGAGUUACGAAAAACGGACAAACAACCCCUUAAAAAAAAUUAAGUCCUCAAAAAAAUACAUAAACUAACUUCUGUCUCAUUCCAGUGACUUUAAAAAAAAAGAGAAACUUGUGAUUCUUUAGUUACAUACAGUGUUGUGAAAAGCGCAUUAAGCGGGCGAUUAAGCGUCUGCUUAAGCGGAAGUAGGAUAAAAACGCUCCGGUUAGAGCUAAAUCGGGUUAUUAGACGUUUUGAGAGAUUAAGCGGGUCAUUAGACUUAUAUAUUGUGAACUGUUCUCUUAAAAAAAAAUCUCUUAUUUUUUAGAAAAAAUGUAAUUUUUAUAGUUUUUUGAAUAUAAAUAUUCAAAAUAUGUUUUAUAUUCUUUAUCUGACAAAAAGAAUAAAUAUUUAUUUCAAAAAAUUACAAUUUUAAUUAUUUUUUUUAAAAAUAAGCUCCUGUCAAAAGAAAAUAAGAUUAACCAAACACCUGCAUUUGCCUGGAAAGUUGCAGAGCUUUUGAAUUGCUAUAUAUGCUUAUUCAUACAAACACAAAGUAUACAAAGAAUUAUCAAAGUAUCAAUGGAAAAAACUACCAUCAUUUUGGUGUGCUCUUGUUUAUUCUCAAUCAUGACGUUCUCUUCUGCAGCAGGAGACACCAUAGCUGCAAAUGAAAGCAUUAGUGAUGGACAGACCAUUGUUUCAGCACGCGGAGAGUUCGAAAUGGGAUUUUUCAGCCCCGAAGGCAAUCCCCAUAAUCGAUAUUUCGGAAUAUGGUACAAAAAGAUUUCCAAUGGAACAGUAAUAUGGGUGGCCAAUAGAGAGGCUCCGAUUUCUAAUACUUCAGGAGUUGUCAGAGUCAGUAGCAGGGGAAUUGUUGUUGGUACUAAUCACACUACUCGCAGCAUUUGGACGUCGAAUUCUUCAGCAUCAGUAAAGAAUCCAGUGGCUCAGUUACUAGAUACUGGGAAUCUUGUUUUCCGGGAUGAAAAUGAGCUACUGAAUUUUGCAUGGCAAAGUUUUGAUCAUCCUGUGGAUAAUUUUUUGCCAGGCAUGAAAUUUGGAUAUGAUUUAGUAAAUGGCCUAGACAGGUACUUUUCACCGUGGAAAAGUGAUGAUGAUCCAGCCCCUGGUGAAUAUACUCAUAGGGUUGAUAAAAAUGGGUAUCCACAGCUUAUUUUGUGGAAAGGUUCAGUCCCUUGGUACAGGACUGGACCUUGGGUUGGCUCAAGAUUUAGUGGCAUUCCUUUUCUGAAGCCUAAUGGAUUCUAUGUCAUUGAUUUCGUCAUAACUCAGACAGAAGUCUAUUAUGUUUUUAAUCUUGUCAAUAGUUCUGAAUCUCCUAUUACAAGGUGGACACUGGCACCAAACGGCGUAUCAACUCGUUAUAAAUGGAACAGAGACAAACAUUCUUGGUCACAGUAUCUGACUUUAGAAGUGAGCGAUUGUGAUGAUUAUGAAUUUUGUGGAGCAAAUGGUGUUUGCAAUGUUAACAAGUCUCCUCGGUGUGAAUGUAUAAAAGGGUUUGAUCCAAAAAACCCAGAACACUGGGCAGAAGCAGAUUGGACUAGUGGUUGUUCGCGCAAUGUUGAACUGGAAUGUGGAAAUGGAGAUGAUUUCUUUAGGUAUACUGGUCUGAAAUUGCCAGACACGCGAUGGUCAAAGUAUAAUAUGAGCAUGAGCCUUGUAGAAUGCAGGGACAAGUGUUUGAAGGAUUGCAAUUGUACAGCGUAUUCAAAUACAGAUAUUCGGAAUGGGGGAAGUGGAUGCUUGUUAUGGUUUGGUGACUUGAAGGAUAUGAGAGGCUACUCUGCCGAUGGACAAGAUCUGUAUGUUAAAAUGGCCGCGUCUGAAUUGAGUAAGUGACCUUCUUUUCUAUUAUGAGUCAGUAUCAUCCAGUAUUUUCUUCUUAUUCAACUAGUUUACUUUCAAUAAUAAUGAGUUAAUUCCUACACAGAGGGGAGCAAAAAUUCUGGACAGAAGACGGGAGUGUGGAUCGUGCUAGUUCCUGCUUUUGUUGUACUAGCUGCAAUAUGUUGCCUCUUACUGUUGUAUAGAAUCAGGAAAAAAGGAAUUAAGAGAGCAGGUAACUUUCCUCAGAGUACAACAUUUACGCCUUUUUCUAUUUUUUAGCUUCAUAAAUCAAUUUAUUCACUUUCUUUGCUGUUCGCAUAUUCUUCUUUGUUGUGCAGGGAUAGUGCAAGUCGACUUAGAUAAUGUUGCUGCUGCCACCAGAGAGCAGGGCCCAGAUCUUGAUUUACCUUUGCUUGACUUCAUACAAAUUGCAAAGGCAACUGAUAAUUUCUCCGACAAUAACAAGCUUGGGGAAGGAGGUUUUGGUGCUGUUUACAAGGUGAUUGUAUUGAUACAUAAGUAUUCUUUACGUUUAUCACGUAGAUGCAGUAUAUCUGUUUGAGUUUUUCUAAUGCACAAACUUUAAGUAUAAAAUCUAAAUGCUUGAUCAUUCUUACUCGAUCAGAAUAAUUGUUAGGGAUAUCUAUAAAGAACAUUAAGUAUAUCUUCAAGGUAAGAAACAUAUUUUGCAGGUAAAUAGAACUGAAAAAUCUUACUUAUUAUCAAAAUCUUACUCAAAAAUUCAUAAUGUUACCAGUAAAUAGAACUGUUUUUUUCCCUGAUGUCUUGAGGGAGUUCUAAAAGUAAUGCGUGCUACUGUUACCAGAGCAUGUUUUGUCUGCUUUCGAGACAAGAGGAGUCAUCUUAUAUUUUAACUGCAGAAAUUAGGAUACCUGUGGGAAUUGUAUAUUUUUGAUGAUGAAAGAAAAUGGACUCAAUCAGUAAAUCUGAAACAUUGAAUUGCAGGGAGUGUUGGAAGAGGGACAAGAAAUAGCUGUAAAGAGACUCUCAAAGGAUUCAAGACAAGGAGUCACUGAGUUCAUGAAUGAAGUUUCAUGCAUUGCUAAACUUCAGCACCGAAAUCUUGUCAGGCUUAUUGCGUGCUGCGUUGAGGAACAGGAAAGGAUGUUGGUCUAUGAAUAUAUGCCUAACAAGGGUUUAGAUUCAGUUCUUUUCGGUAUGAUCCUAACCGAAACUUUUAUAUUUCCUUAAAGUUUCAAGUACUGAAACAAAUAAAUUUGUACUAACAAGAUAAUGAUCAUAAUUAAACUCUGCCAUGCCUGGAUGUUUUACUUGGGCUGACAAAUUGACAGAUAAAGAAAUGUGCAAAUCACUUGAUUGGCCAAAGCGCUACAAUAUAAUAAACGGCACUGCAAAAGGGCUACUUUAUCUGCACCAGGAUUCAAGACUGAAAGUCAUUCAUAGAGAUCUCAAAGCCAGUAAUAUUUUACUAGACUAUGAGAUGAACCCGAAAAUAUCAGACUUUGGAUUGGCAAGGAUUUUCGGAGAAAGUGAAACUCAAGCCAGUACAACAACAGUAGUUGGGACAUAGUAAGUCUUUAUGCAGCAUUUCAAUUGAUAAUUGAAUUCAUAAAUCACAGUCUAGUGAUUGGUAUGCUUUUUAUCUAUAUCUCUUUGUAUAGCGGAUACAUGCCCCCAGAGUAUGCAAUUGAUGGAUUGUUCUCAACUAAAUCGGAUGUCUAUAGCUUUGGAGUAUUAUUACUAGAAAUAAUAAGUGGAAAGAAAAACAGAGGUUUUCGUCACCCAGAUCACAACCUUAAUCUUGUUGGUCAUGUAAGUUCAUAUGCAUAUAAUCCAAUUUCUUGAUCUGCCAGUUGGCAAUUUCUGUAAACUGACAAGUGAUACCAACUAAUUUCUUAGGCAUGGAGGUGCUACACUGAAAACAAUCUUCUGGGCAUUGCUGACAAAGUGAUCUUGAAUUCAAGUAAUGAACAUGAAGUGUUUCGAGUGACUGAAAUCGGUUUAUUGUGCGUUCAAGAAUAUCCUGAAGACAGGCCAAGCAUGUCAUCAGUGGUUCUGAUGCUGAGCAG